CUUGGUCAUUUAGAGGAAGUAAAAGUCGUAACAAGGUUUCCGUAGGUGAACCUGCGGAAGGAUCAUUAUUGAAUAAACUUGGUUAGGUUGUUGCUGGCUCUUAGGAGCAUGUGCACGCCGACUCCAUCUUUAACCACCUGUGCACCUUGCGUAGAUCUGAUAAUCUCGAGGAAACUCGGUUUGAGAAUUGCUGUGCAAACAGCUCUUCUUGUAAUCAGGUCUAUGUUUCUAUAUAUACCCCACACGAAUGUAUUUUGAAUGUCAUAAUUGGCCUUUGUGCCUUUAAAAACAAAUACAACUUUCAACAACGGAUCUCUUGGCUCUCGCAUCGAUGAAGAACGCAGCGAAAUGCGAUAAGUAAUGUGAAUUGCAGAAUUCAGUGAAUCAUCGAAUCUUUGAACGCACCUUGCGCUCCUUGGUAUUCCGAGGAGCAUGCCUGUUUGAGUGUCAUGAAAUUCUCAACCUUUCUAGUUUUUCAACUAGUUAGGCUUGGAUUUUGGAAGUUGCUGGCUCGUUCAGCUCUUCUUAAAUAUAUUAGCAAAGAUCUUUGCUGCUCAUCAUUGGUAUGAUAAUUAUCUAUAUCAUUGAUAAACAGUGUCCUUCACGGGAGAGCUCUUGCUUCUAAUCGUCUUUUUAAGACAAUUUGAUAACUUUUGACCUCAAAUCAGGUAGGACUACCCGCUGAACUUAAGCAUAUCAAUAAGCGGAGGAAAAGAAACUAACAAGGAUUCCCCUAGUAACUGCGAGUGAAGCGGGAAAAGCUCAAAUUUAAAAUCUGGUAGUCUUUGGCUGCCCGAGUUGUAAUCUAGAGAAGCGUUAUCCGCGCUGGACCGUGUGUAAGUCUCCUGGAAUGGAGCGUCAUAGAGGGUGAGAAUCCCGUCUUUAACACGGACUACCAGGGCUUUGUGAUGCGCUCUCAAAGAGUCGAGUUGUUUGGGAAUGCAGCUCUAAAUGGGUGGUAAAUUCCAUCUAAAGCUAAAUAUUGGCGAGAGACCGAUAGCGAACAAGUACCGUGAGGGAAAGAUGAAAAGAACUUUGGAAAGAGAGUUAAACAGUACGUGAAAUUGUUGAAAGGGAAACGCUUGAAGU
rnacentral:rRNA from 1 species